UUGGUCUAAUGAAGCAGAGUACAACAGCAAACUUCGUCGUACUACCAGAGUAGCAGCAGAAGCAGUGAACUAUUCUUAGAGAACCGUUAUUCGUCAGCCCAGAUCGAGUCAUCGUCAAGAAAGUCGUUAUUCGUCAGCCCAGAUCAAGUCAUCGUCAAGAAAGCCGUUAUUCGUCAGCCCAGAUCAAGUCAUCGUCAAGAAAUUCGUUAUUCGUCAGUCGUCCAGAUCAAGUUGCCGUCAAGAGACUGUUAUUUGUCAGUAGUCGUCUACACAAGUCAAGUCAUCGCCAGAAGAACCGUUAACCUAUUCGUCAGUAACUGUGUACACAAGGUCGUCGGAACUACACAUACGGUCAUCAACAGUCGUCGAAGAAACUAGAACAUUUUGCUGUGGCAUAUCAGGACAUCUGUGGCAUUACGUGGGAUACUGGUAGCACCGGAGAACAGAGUCAGAACUGGAAGAGAGGCAGUGGAAUUUGUUGUGAUCUAGCAUAUUCGGGAGUCCGAACAAAGGGAUCUUUCUUAUCAAAAGCUAAGUGCCAUUUUUCUUAUUAGUAUAUGUUUAGAUUGCCCUUAGAAAUAGAUUUUGUCUAAAUUUGGUACGUUAGCCUGAGUAAAAUCAGGUGGUGCGCCUUAAAACCCGUCGGGGUAGAAGACGUAAUUUAGAUGAAAAGCUAUAUUAUACGUUUAGAGUUGUAAUUUGUUUUGUUUGUGUAAACGUCAUAUCCGUUGUUGCCUGGUUACUUCGUGACGUUAUCAUUGUGUGCCAUAUUGUCAUAUCCCAACCCAUAGCGAUAGUCUCAUUUACUUAUUUCAUUUGUUUAUAUUAUUUUAAAUUAUUUAUUUUUAUUAAUUUAAUUAGAUCUGUAUUUUUUUUUCACUUAAUGAUAGAAAGUGCGGGUAGGAUUCUUUUACUGUGAAUCAGACUAAAAUAAUUUUAGUUUGAGCGGUUAAAAUCAAAUAUGAUUUUACCAUGAGAAUAAUGCCGAAACUGGCUAUGUAGUCAAACACUGUCGUCUGGCUAAAUAUAGAUCUACAAAUUUUGUACAUUUCUUUGGUACAAUUAAAUUAUCUAGACUCGAAUUUGGAAUAUUAUUAAUUGAAAGAUGAAUGAAGAUUACUACCAGUAAAGAACAUUUGAGAUGUGUAGGACGUACCCAUAAGAUGCCACAUUUUCCUCCAUGAUGAACUGUGUACCAAUGAAGAUGAUUCUGGAAUGUUAUGAACUGUUAUGAACAUUGACAUGAAUAUGAGGAACUGUCAAGAUGAAGAUGUCAAGAUGAAGAGAUCAAGAUU